rnacentral:tRNA from 1 species
UGGAAGAUGGCAGAGUAAAAUGCAAUGGGCUGUAGGCCCAUCUACGAGCUUAAAUGCUCUCUUCUAA